rnacentral:misc_RNA from 1 species
AAAGUCGUAACAAGGUUUCCGUAGGUGAACCUGCGGAAGGAUCAUUAGAGAUGUGCGCAAGCACUUUUCCCUUCACACACCUGUGCACCGUGGUCUUCGGACCUCUUUCGAACAUUGUAGUCAAGAACGUCUUUUUAUGAUAACAAAAUAAAACUUUCAACAACGGAUCUCUUGGCUCUC